GAUGAAGAACGUAGCGUAAUGCGAUAAGUAAUGUGAAUUGCAGAAUUCAGUGAAUCAUCGAAUCUUUGAACGCACAUUGCGCCCCCUGGUAUUCCGGGGGGCAUGCCUGUCCGAGCGUCAUUACAACCCUCAAGCUCAGCUUGGUAUUGGGCCCCGCCGACCCGGCGGGCCCUAAAGUCAGUGGCGGUGCCGUCCGGCUCCGAGCGUAGUAAUUCUUCUCGCUCUGGAGGUCCGGUCGUGUGCUCGCCAGCAACCCCCAAUUUUUUUCAGGUUGACCUCGGAUCAGGUAGGGAUACCCGCUGAACUUAAGCAUAUCAAUAAGCGGAGGA
rnacentral:misc_RNA from 1 species